rnacentral:misc_RNA from 1 species
CUGAUUGAGAUCAACUCUGUGCACCUGGGCCUGGCACCUUCAUUGCAUACCCCCGCCCCUUGCACCUUUUCGUUGCUUGUGUCACUCUCGUUGCCCAGCGCCUCCGUCGGAGGAAGCGCACGCCGCGCCGAUGGGGUCGACACCAAACGUGGUUUCGUCGCCAGAGGCUCACGCACACCCUUCCGACGCCCGCAAUGUGCUUCAGGAGGCUCUCACGAACUUCGUGACGGACAGCAUGUAUGACAGACCGCAGGACAUUCUAGAGUACAUGGUGACGUGGGCCCGCAAGCAGUUGCUCCAGAAGCAGGGGAGAGGGGAGGCGGUGACAGCUCCGGAUACAAAGGUGCCGCGCUUGUCCAUCACCCCCACGGCUAUAACUGCGGUGAUGCAGGCAGCCGUCUUCUCGCAGACCGCUGACGAGGCGGAUCCGGCGGCGGGGGCGGAGGCUGCGAACCGGCUACGCCGCCUCGCGGAAAACCGCCAGAAACGCUACCGAGACAUCGCGCAGGGCUGCCUUGAUAACUACCUCAUCUCGCUCGAAGACAGUGACGGGGACCUGUUUCACAUCGACGCUCUUCGCCGUAAGAUGGAAGGCACCCGCCAGCAGGCGAUGAGCGCGAGGGGCGACACCGCUGCCAUUGCAGCGCAGCUGAAGGCAAUCGAAGAAAGCGAGGGAGCAGCAACGCAGAAGGCGCGCGAGCAGGCGGCGCUUCUCCACGAGUACGAGCAGCGAUGGGUGCAUGAGACGCUCGACAAGUGCCCUACUUGAUUCGAACACAUAGUGCUCUCACGACCCCCUUCUGCGCCACCAUCGUGCUUCCCUUCCUAAUCGAGACAUGCUGCGCCUCUCUCAACUUGGGCACUCCGAGAGAGGGCAUCUCACCGUGUGGGGCUCUUGUCCUUCAUUUAUCUCGCUCUUAACCGCCGCGGAAUGUAACGGCGCUUUCCCCCUCUCUCACGCCUGCUGAUCCUUGCCGCGUGUAGGUGUACACAGUUCCGCUCCCUCUGAUGUAGUGCUUCUCCCUGCCCCCUUCUCGGUGCGGUACUCCCUAUCGGCUAGCCGGUGCAACACGCACACACACGAAGAGUAAACGCGCGCGGCUUACAUAUGCGCUUCCGCCUUGCGGUCAACGGCCUGCCCUUGUCGCUUUGGGCGCGCUCCGAGCACCUCGUCUCGGUCCAUCUCGUCAUGCUUCCACGUGUGCCUCUCCGCGUGCGCGGGUGCGCGAGCCUCAGCCCCCUCUUUCUGGGUGACGCACAUGCCUCUUCGCACGCAUGUUUUUCUCUUCCUCAGAAGGUACACGCACGGAACGAUGAUC